AAUCUAUCAUCGAUCAAUUUUUGCAAGCACAAUCAUCAACUUGGUGUUCUUCAAAUUGUAGGAUGACAAUUGAAAGAAUUUGUGAUCACAAAAACAUAAGUCGUCAAAUGGAUAUUGUCUUUUCUCAUGUUUUUGUGAUCAUAAUUUUUUUCCCAUUAACAUCAUAUAACUUGCUCAAUUGAUUGUUUUGCUUGCAAAUAUCGAUAGACAAUCGAUUCAACAUCUUAUUUAUCAAAUAUAAAUGGUUCAUCUACAAUGAAAUAAUAAUUACAAUUUCAAUUUCACAAAGAAUAAAAAAUUGUUGCUCUCUUACAUAAAGCAUUUUGUAUUUUAGAGAAUGUGGUCUACUAGAAUACGUAUAUUUUAUGAAAUUUCUUUCACUUUUUUUUUUUUGCAUUUAAGAGCUCUUUUUUGUCAUAAUUAUCACAAUAAGACAUACGCUACAUAAACUCUUAUUGAUGAGUGUUUGAAUCCAGGACCGUCUUCAAAAGUUUAGGGGCAUAAAGCCAAACUUCAUAAAAAAAAUUAGUAGUUUUUUGGUUGGCAUAUAUAAAUUGAACAACUAUAACAUAGUCAGUAAAAUUCUAUAAAUGAGGUCUGUAGAGGGAAAGAUGUACGAGAACCUUAUGAAGUAAUCGUAUAAAAAAAUGUAAUUUUCAAUGAAAAAUAUAAUAUAAAAUCAAAAUAAUAAAACCUGACUAAAAAAUUUGAUAUAUAUAUAUAUCUUUAGAAAAAAAUUGUGGGCUCAAAAAAAUUGAGAUUCCAAGAGAUUGCUUUAGGGGUUUUAUGAUCGAAAUGGUCCUAUAUGAAUCUCAAACUAGAGUGCGUACAGAAAAGAACAAACAUGCAUAUUUAUAUAAGGAAGGAAAAAGGAAAAUUGAGAUAUUAGUGAACAAAUUACUAUACCAGUGGGAAAGCUAAGGGUCUCACAUAUGAACCCUCAAGCCUGUAAUAGAGUUGUUGGUGUUGGUGGAUUGCUUCUCCCUAUUGCAUUCAAGAUUUUGGUCCACAAAUUUUGAAAACUAUUUUUGGAACGAUAGAAAAGAAAGCUUAAAUAUAGUCUCCAAGGUGGAGAAAUGUAUAGAGAAAUAGAGGAUGCAUUUGAGGAAUGAAAAAUUAUGGAACAAAGGAAGGGUUUUUAUAGUUGGUGUGAGGUGUUUUUUCAAGAUAAAAUAUGAAAAUAUUGUGAAUAACUUUCUAUAUAUAUUGAUUUACAUUGGAUUUGAUUAGAAGUCAAAAUUAACCAAAUCUACCAAUCUUAAAAACCUAUCAAAAACAAUAAAUAAUUUUAGCAAGAAAAUCAUUAUCAUAAAAUAGGCAAAUAAAUUAUUAUUAUUAUUAUAUACUAAAAUAAACAGUUUUGGAAGAUGAAAGGUUUAUGGCCUUUUCAUCUUCUUCAAUUUACUUGAAUGUAUAUUGAUUUGAACUAUCUUGCUCUUUACUAAACGUUAUUUAAUAAUUAAUUAGAAUGUAUUAAUUAUUGUAUCCUUAAUUAUAAUUCAUUUACAUGGAAAAAUAGGGUGAAAAAUUUAAAAAUAUGACAAAAUAGAAAAAUAAAUUUCCUAAUCAUUGAGCCAUGCCAUAUCAGCGGGAUGAAGAUCCUGCUUUAUAUAUAUAUAUAUAUUUGAUCAUUUCAUUGAUUUGUCUUGGUUGAAUGAUAUAGUAUCUUAAUUUGUCCUUCUAUCUACUGUAAAUAAAUACCAGUUACAACAUAUUUUGUUAAUUUAAUUAUAGUGCCUCAAAUUAAAUUUAAAGCUACUUAAUUAGUAAUAAGUUGUUUUUUAAGAAACAAUUUAUAAAUAGCAAACAAUAAAUAAACUUUACGAAUGAGAAGUUGGAAACACUAAUUUUGGAUUAUGGAAAAAUAAUGUGUAGUAUAAGUAGCAACACUCCGUAACAACUUGAUAACUCAUUGAUUCAUCUUAAUUACAUAAACACAUAUAGAUGUAAAUAGAAAUCGUAGUUCUUUGUUCUUUUUUCUUUUUCAAUCUUAAUUACAUAAACACAUAUAGAGGUAAAUAGAAAAUGCAGUUCUUGAGUUUUUUUUUAAAUAAAAUAAAAUUGGGGGUGGGGUGGGGGAGUGUGGGAAAUCAAACUUUCACCAACAAGGUGAAAGUUCAAGUAACCAACCAACUAAACUUCUAAGAUUCCCCACAAUUCUUGGGUUGAUAUAAACUUACUUUUGAAAGUUGAAUUUCUUGCAAGACUAAAUUAGUUUGUUUCUUUAUAUUUUGAAUCCCUCAAUAAUAUAUAAACCUUAAUUUUUAUUUAUUGAAAAAAUUACAAGCAUAUUGUGUUUAAGACUUUAAUUUACAAUAUAAAAUAUACUCUUGUUUAUUUACAAAACUAAGUUUUUAAUUACAAAUAUAGCAAUUCUUAAAUAAUCCACGUUUUAUUUUUAUUUUUAAAAGGUUAGUUUACUUAUUUUUUGGGAAUCAUAUAAAGAUUUCUUUUUCUCUCUUCAUAGUUCAUCUCAAUUACAAGAAUAUUCUCUCUUCAAAUGGGAUAUGUUUCGCUCUUAUUACUCUCUCAUCUCUUCCAUUGUCAGUGUCUAGGUAAAACCUAUAUUCUUGAUAAUAUUUUUGGUUCUUUUCUAUUCUUAUUUCUCCUUCUUUUUUUUAAAUCACCUCUAAUUCAAGAACAAAAAUUAUUUUUGUUAUAGUUUUUACCAUGAAAAAUUUCAUGGAUUUUACUCCUAGAAAGAGUCUUAGUUCUAGGCUUCGACGCAAUAUUAACAGCCCCUUCUAUCUAAAUUGCGUUUUGAGUUGGAUACAUUCUCACUAUUCCCUAUAAGUGAAUAUGAUUUAGGGAUUCAUGGCAUCAGUGAAAUUUAUCUCUGUUACAACUAAUUCGCCAAAGAAAAAGGUAAAGAGAAAGAUGUUAGUGCAAUUUCUCUCAUUAUUGAUUUUAGUUAUAUGUUUCAACCCUACAAUUCAUAACACCAUAAUAUAAUCAAGUAUAUAACAUUUUUUUAGCAUCAUCAAGUUAAUCCAACCUACAUUGAUGUAAAAUAUAAUUUUAAAAAAAUAAUUUAAACAAAAAAAAGUUAAGGGAGAGAAUAAAAAAAACAAUUUUUUUGGAAAAUAAAUGGGGUAAAAAAUGGAAAAAGAAAAGAAAGGAGAAACAGACGAGUGAGUGAAGAAAGAGAAAUAAUAAAAGGAGAGAAAAAAUUCAGAAAAAAAACAUUUGCUUAUUAAAUAUCUUAGGAAGACGAUCAGAAAAUAGGAGAAAUAUCAGGAAGCAAAAAUAUUGAGGGGAGAUAUUUUAGGGACAAAAACGUGAUUUCUUUAAUCCCUUUAUUAUAUUUUGGUAUUUUUUCGUUCUUGUUUAUUAUUUUUUAUUUUGAUCUAUUUUGUCUAUGUUGGUGAAAAGUUAAACUACUAUUAUAUAAGAGUAAUUUAGGUUCUUAAAUUGUAUAAUUAGGUAUUUCCCCCUUUUUAUUUCCUUAUCGAUCUCCAUAUGCAUUCAUUUGUUAAAUAACUCGUUCCCCAGCUAGUAAUUACUUUUUAGUCUAUAGUGUUAAUCUUGAUAGGGUUUUUCUGAAGAAGGAAAAAAAAUGGAUCAGGGGAAAGGGAAAUGGGAAGGGGAUAACAAGGUGCGGAACUAAAUUCUUGUCUUUAACGUGCGGAGUUUACUUAUUUUUUGGGAUUCAUAAUAACAAGAUUUCUUUUUCUCUCUUCAUUAUUCAUCUCAAUCACAAGAAUAUUCUCUCUUCAAAUGGGGUAUGUUUCGCUCUUAUUACUCUCUCAUCUCUUCCAUUGUCAGUGUCUAGGAAAAACCUAUAUUCUUGAUAAUAUUUUUGGUUCUUUUCUAUUCUUAUUUCUCCUUCUUUUUUUUAAAUCACCUCUAAUUCAAGAACAAAAAUUAUUUUUGUUAUAGUUUUUACCAUGAAAAAUUUCAUGGAUUUUACUCCUAGAAAGAGUCUUAGGUCUAGGCUUCGACGCAAUAUUAACAGCCCCUUCUAUCUAAAUUACGUUUUGAGUUGGAUAUAUUCACACUAUUCCCUAUAAGUGAAUAUGAGUUAGGGAUUCAUGCCAUCAAUAGUGAAAUUUAUCUCUGUUACAACUAAUUCGCCAAAGAAAAAGGUAAGGAGAAAGAUGUUAGUGCAAUUUCUCUCAUUAUUUCCUCAUUAUUGAUUUUAGUUAUAUGUUUCAACCCUACAACGCAUAACACCAUAAUAUAAUCAAGUAUAUAACAAUUUUUUUAGCAUCAUCAAGUUAAUCCAACCUACAUUGAUGUAAAAAUUAAUUUUUAAAAAAUAAUUUAAACAAAAAAAAGUUAAGGGAGGGAAUAAAAAAACAUUUUUUUUGGAAAAUAAAUGGGGUAAAAAAUGGAAAAAGAAAAGAAAGGAGAAACAGACGAGUGAGUGAAGAAAGAGAAAUAAUAAAAGGAGAGAAAAAAUUCAGAAAAAAAACAUUUGCUUAUUAAAUAUCUUAGGAAGACGAUCAGAAAAUAGGAGAAAUAUCAGGAAGCAAAAAUAUUGAGGGGAGAUAUUUUAGGGACAAAAACGUGAUUUCUUUAAUCCCUUUAUUAUAUUUUGGUAUUUUUUCGUUCUUGUUUAUUAUUUAUUAUUUUGCUCUAUUUUGCCUAUGUUGGUGAAAAGUUAAACUACUAUUAUAUAAGAGUAAUUUAGGUUCUUAAAUUGUAUAAUUAGGUAUUUCCCCCUUUUUAUUUCCUUAUCGAUCUCCAUAUGCAUUCAUUUGUUAAAUAACUCGUUCCCCAGCUAGUAAUUACUUUUUAGUAGGGCUGCGCAUCGGUCGGUUCGAUUCGGUUUUAUGUGUUAUUGGUUCGAUUUAUCGGUUUUCGGUUUGUAAAUAUGUCAAAUCGAUAACCAAACCAAUAACAUAUUUCUUAUCGGUUUUUGAUUAAUCAGUUUAUGGUACUUAACGGUUCGAUUUUCGGUUUAACCAAUAAGAAAAUACUCAUAUAUAUUAUAUACACAUUAAGAAAAUUUUCAUAUAAACCGUAUGAUUUUUCCAACAUUUGGCAUGAAAGUAAUAAUCAUAAAAUUAACAAUCAUAUUUCUUGCAAGUUUAGACACUAGACACAUUCAAAGGAAAAAGUGUGAGAGUAAUUAACAAUCGUUAACCAUUAACAAAAAGUAGUGAAAGUAACAAUCGUUUAACCAUUAACAAUAAGACUAGUAAAUUUAGUAUAGUCUUAUUGGGUUAUCGAUUUAACCAUUAACAAAAAUCAUAAAACCGGAAACCGAACCAAUAACCCAAUAAAAAAAAUUUACAAAAUCGUUUAAAAACCGUUAGCCCAAUAACCCAAUAUCAAUAAAUCAAUAGUGUUUUUUUCGGUUCAGUUUAUUGGUUAAAUCGGUUUUUGUGCACCCCUACUUUUUAGUCUAUUGUGUUAAUCUUGAUAGGGUUUUUUUGAAGAAGGAAAAAAUAAAUGGAACAGGGGAAAGGGAAAUGGGAAGGGGACAACAAGGUGCGGAACUAAAUUCUUGUCUUUAACGUGCGAGUUCAGCUAGCUAAUCAAUUAAACUACUAAGAUUUUUCAACCUUGAUAGGUUAAAAUUUUUGACUCACAAUUUUAGUUAACGAUGCAAGAAAAAACAACCGUCCACCAACACCCUCACCCCAAAAAAGAGAGAUUUACAUUUCCAUCGUUAUAUAUAUAUAUAUAUAUUACAAAAGUAUCCACCUUAAGAGAAAACAUAAAAUAUUGUUCAUAAAUUUGUUGUUGAUAAUUACAUUAAGAAAAAUAAACUCUCACUCUCUAGUGACUUAAUACCACUAGAUAGAGUGUCUAGCGACCUUUUAUUACAAAUAAAUAAUCAUGCACAUGAAUAAGUAAAAACAAAGAGAGUUAGACCUUACCUUAUCAAUCUUAAUAACGUAACAAAGUCUCGAAAAUAUACUCAACUCUGUAAUUCCAAAGAAUCACUCUUCAUAUUUAAACAUUCAAUUAUUUUGAGAAAAAAUAUUAUUAUUUUUAAAGAAAGUUCAUAAAGUAUAAACAUUCUAAGUAGAUCGUGUCCUCCAAAAUGCAAAAAACACUUUAGGUAAGAAAGCAACAGAACUUUCUAUCCUAUGUGGAGUUGAGAUUGCAAUUAUCAUUUUUUCAAUUGAAUUAUGUGAAUCAUUUAGUUUUGAUAAAUCAUAUGUUGAAUCUAUCAUCGAUCAAUUUUUGCAAGCAAAACCAUCAACUGGGUGUUCUUCAAAUUGUAGGAUGACAAUUGAAAGAAUUUGUGAUCACAAAUACAUAAAUUGUCAAAUGGAUAUUGUCUUUUCUCAUGUUUUUGUGAUCACAAUUUUUUUUCAAUUAACAUCAUAUAACUUGCUCAAUUGAUUGUUUUGCUUGCAAAUAUCGAUAGACAAUCGAUUCAACAUCUUAUUUAUCAAAUAUAAAUGGUUCAUCUACAAUGAAAUAAUAAUUACAAUUUCAAUUUCACAAAGAAUAAAAAAUUGUUGCUCUCUUACAUAAAGCAUUUUGUAUUUUAGAGAAUGUGGUCUACUAGAACACGUAUAUUUUAUGAAAUUUCUUUCACUUUUUUUUUUUUGCAUUUAAGAGCUCUUUUUUGUCAUAAUUAUCACAAUAAGACAUACGCUACAUAAACUCUUAUUGAUGAGUGUUUGAAUCCAGGACCGUCUUCAAAAGUUUAGGGGCAUAAAGCCAAACUUCAUAAAAAAAAUUAGUAGUUUUUUGGUUGGCAUAUAUAAAUUGAACAACUAUAACAUAGUCAGUAAAAUUCUAUAAAUGAGGUCUGUAGAGGGAAAGAUGUACGAGAACCUUAUGAAGUAAUCGUAUAAAAAAAAUGUAAUUUUCAAUGAAAAAUAUAAUAUAAAAUCAAAAUAAUAAAACCUGACUCAAAAAUUUGAUAUAUAUAUAUUGUGGGCUCAAAAAAAUUGUCCUAUAUGAAUCUCAAACUAGAGCGCGUACAGAAAAGAACAAACAUGCAUAUUUAUAUAAGGAAAAAGGAAAAUUGAGAUAUUAGUGAACAAAUUACUAUACCAGUGGGAAAGCUAAGGGACUCGCAUAUGAACCCUCAAGCCUGUAAUAGAGUUGUUGGUGUUGGUGGAUUGCUUCUCCCUAUUGCAUUCUAGAUUUUGGUCCACAAAUUUUGAAAGCUUAAAUAUAGUCUCCAAGGUGGAGAAAUGUAUAGAGAAAUAGAGAAUGCAUUUGAGGAAUGAAAAAUUAUGGAACAAAGGAAGGGUUUUUAUAGUUGGUGUGAGGUGUUUUUUCAAGAUAAAAUAUGGAAAUAUUGUAAAUAACUUUC
rnacentral:lncRNA from 1 species